rnacentral:tRNA from 1 species
GAGGGAAUAGCGCAGUGAUAGAGUUCGUGCCUAGCAUGCAUGAGGUCCUGGGUUCAAUCCUCAGUACCUCCA